rnacentral:lncRNA from 1 species
AGUUAGGAGGAUGGAGACUGACUAGUUAGGAGGAUGGAGAGUGACUAGUUAGGAGGAUGGAGACUGACUAGUAGGAGGAUGGAGACUGACUAGUUAGGAGGAUGGAGACUGACUAGUUAGGAGGAUGGAGACUGACUAGUUAGGAGGAUGGAGACUGACUAGUUAGGAGGAUGGAGACUGACUAGUUAAGAGGAUGGAGACUGACUAGUUACAAGGCGCCAGCAGUCCAUAUAUACUUGCUGCCUCUUCAGCUGUGACGGCCCCUCAAGCUUCUCGUGAGUUUGAUGCAUAACUUCUGUUUUUUGUCUUGUUGUUGGUAAAUAUUCAUUCGCAACAAGUUUUUGAAGGUGCUGACUGGAAAACAAAAUCACGUGGUUAUUCAUUUCUCAUUGAACUUAGAGUCGGAUAAUUGCCUAACAAUUUAACACCAAGCUGUUCUCUCUGUGUCUUGUCUUGUUUUUGGUUUUUUAAAAGACUGGUUCUCACUUUGUAGCUCAGGCUAUCCGUGAUCUCACAGCGGUCUCCCUACGUCAGCCUCCCCAGAACUGGGAUUAGAGAUAUAAGCUACAUUCCCAGAACAACAAGCCAUUUUAGCUCAAAGAUUUGAAUGUUCCUAGUUAGGAUGGGCAUCUAGAGAACAGAGGACCUUCAUUUAUAACCUGAUCUAUUUACUAGAAAUCUUGUUACUAGAGACCAGUAGUGGCUGCCCAGAUCAUUAAGGCAAACUGCUCAGUGUUGAAGGAAGUCAUGUUCUUGUUGGUGCUUAAAGAGCGUGUUUCCACACACAGUUGUACCUGAGUCAGUGCUGCUCAAGUAUGGCUGGAUCUCAGAGUGGCUUAAAACAUACUAAGCUUGGGUCCGUAUCCUGAUUCUGGUGUCAGAACUGGGAUAUGCUCUGACCAUAAGGAUUUAAAAAUGCCCUGGUUUCAGAAUGCUACCAAAGGUUGAGAGCAGUUGUGCUCAAUUUCCCUUAGAGGUUUCCCAUCUACAAAGUAGGAAAUUCUUGCUCCCCUCACUACCUCACAAGGAUACAGAGGGUGCACGAGAGCGCACUGGGAGUGUUGGCGUUGUGGGUAGAGGACGCUGUAGAAGUGCAAGCAUCUGUCACAGUUCUCAAUUUCAGCUGCAGCCGCGAUCGAAAACGGAUAAUUGAAUUUGUUGUUGUUGUAGGAAGCUCUUAAUGUGAUUCCGUGAGGAAGCAUGUAGGGGUGGAGCAAACGUUGAUGACUACUCUUAUUCACUAUGGUCUUCUAGCCUACUUGAAACUGGCGGUUAUAUUAUCUAAGUUUUCAUAGGAAAGAAGAAAUAUUAAGGCUUAAUUCUGUAAUGUUCAUUGGCUCAUAAUUCAUUAAAAAGUUCAUACAAGGAA